CAGCAGCCGCGGUAAUACGAAGGGGGCUAGCGUUGUUCGGAAUUACUGGGCGUAAAGCGCACGUAGGCGGAUCGAUCAGUCAGGGGUGAAAUCCCAGAGCUCAACUCUGGAACUGCCUUUGAUACUGGGUAUCUUGAGUAUGGAAGAGGUGAGUGGAAUUCCGAGUGUAGAGGUGAAAUUCGUAGAUAUUCGGAGGAACACCAGUGGCGAAGGCGGCUCACUGGUCCAUUACUGACGCUGAGGUGCGAAAGCGUGGGGAGCAAACAGGAUUAGAUACCCGCGUAGUCCCUGUCUCUUAUAC
rnacentral:rRNA from 1 species